rnacentral:rRNA from 1 species
AUUGAACGCUGGCGGCAGGCCUAACACAUGCAAGUCGAGCGGAGCGGCGGCGGGGUGAGGGAGGGCUAGGAAUCUGGCUGGGCCUGGGGGAUAAGGUCAGCAAACGGGCGCUAAUACCGCAUACUAGCACCAGCGCCUGGAUCGGUUUAGCUAGUGGGUGGGGUAAAGGCCCACGAAGGCGACGAUCCGUAACUGGUCUGGGAUGAUGAUCAGUCACACUGGAACUGAGACACGGUCCAGACUCCUACGGGAGGCAGCAGUGGGGAAUAUUGCACAAUGGGCGAAAGCCUGAUCCAGCCAUGCCGCGUGUGUGAAGAAGGUCUUCGGAUUGUAAAGCACUUUCAGUUGGGAGGCGUUACCAACAGAAUAAGCACCGGCUAACUCCGUGCCAGCAGCCGCGGUAAUAC